rnacentral:rRNA from 1 species
AUUGAACACUGGCGGCAGGCUUAACACAUGCAAGUCGAGCGGGGGAAGGUAGCUUGCUACCGGACCUAGCGGCGGACGGGUGAGUAAUGCUUAGGAAUCUGCCUAUUAGUGGGGGACAACAUCUCGAAAGGGAUGCUAAUACCGCAUACGUCCUACGGGAGAAAGCAGGGGAUCUUCGGACCUUGCGCUAAUAGAUGAGCCUAAGUCGGAUUAGCUAGUUGGUGGGGUAAAGGCCUACCAAGGCGACGAUCUGUAGCGGGUCUGAGAGGAGGAUCCGCCACACUGGGACUGAGACACGGCCCAGACUCCUACGGGAGGCAGCAGUGGGGAAUAUUGGACAAUGGGGGGAACCCUGAUCCAGCCAUGCCGCGUGUGUGAAGAAGGCCUUAUGGUUGUAAAGCACUUUAAGCGAGGAGGAGGCUACUCUAGUUAAUACCUAGGGAUAGUGGACGUUACUCGCAGAAUAAGCACCGGCUAACUCCGUGCCAGCCGCCGCGGUAA